rnacentral:rRNA from 1 species
UACGAGGGGGGGCGAGCGUUGUUCGGAAUUAUUGGGCGUAAAGGGUGCGUAGGCGGUUUGGUAAGUCUUGUGUGAAAUCUACAGGCUCAACUUGUAGUCUGCACGAGAAACUGCCGGGCUUGAGUGUGGGAGAGGUGAGUGGAAUUCCUGGUGUAGCGGUGAAAUGCGUAGAUAUCAGGAGGAACACCUGUGGCGAAAGCGGCUCACUGGACCAUAACUGACGCUGAUGCACGAAAGCGUGGGUAGCAAACAGG